CAGCGCUACACCUGCCACACAUAAAGGACUUGAUCCGUCCACAUCCAGCACAAAGGAUCAGCUGGAUCCUGAUGAUCCAGAGAGGCUGAAACAGCAGCAGCAGCUUGAGUGCAGAGAGAAUGUGACUGGGAUCAGUUACCGGCAGGACUUCACACCCAAAGUGCUGACUGAGUCUGCAAAGAUUUCAUACAGGU